rnacentral:rRNA from 1 species
UACGUAGGUGGCGAGCGUUGUCCGGAAUCAUUGGGCGUAAAGCGCGCGUAGGCGGCUUGUCAGGUCUGAUGUGAAAUCUUGGGGCUCAACCCCAAGCGUGCAUCGGAAACCGGCUUGCUAGAGUCUGGGAGAGGAGAGUGGAAUUCCUGGUGUAGCGGUGAAAUGCGUAGAUAUCAGGAGGAACACCGGUUGCGAAGGCGGCUCUCUGGAACAGUACUGACGCUGAGGCGCGAAAGCUAGGGGAGCAAACAGG